AAUAAUUAUGAUUGUCUUGGGACUGAUCUUGUUUCCCUGAAUGCAGGAGAAGCCCCAUUUCAGUGGCAGCAGCUGUUAUUUACAUGAUUACUCAGCUCUCAGAUGAUAAGAAGCUUCUUAGAGAUAUUUCGCUCGCAACUGGAGUAGCGGAGGGAACCAUAAGGAAUUCCUAUAAAGAUCUUUAUCCAUUUGCUUCCAGGUUGAUACCAAACUGGUAUGCGAAGGAGGAGGACCUCAGGAACCUCUGUAGCCCUUGAAGUAGUCUGACGAUUAAUAUCAGCACUAGUUAUAAUAAUCUUAAUAGUAAUACAAAAACUCAUGAUGUUUUGGACUAUUCAUGUAGCUAAAUUUGAGAGUUACCAUGACUUCAAAUUUUUUUUGUUAGUUGUUUUCUUUCUAUUCAGCUUGCUGUGGUGAGCCUACAUUCUCGAAUGUUCAAGGAGUUCAACUACACCAAAUCUUUAUCA